UCACCUAAAGGGACCAAAAUCAGAUCUAUAAAAAGAAAACAAAAUGGUCUAGAAAAAUCAUAAAAUUCGUAGAUUUCAAACAGAUCAUUAAUUUGUAGAUAGUAUUACAGAAAUUUAGAAUACCAAUUUUAACAGAGAAUGAGAAGGACAAAUAAACUAGGGUUUGUAAUUGAUUUUCCAAAAUCGAUUUACUAUCAUCUUCAGCAACAAUAAUUUGAAGAUACAAAGCAAAGAUUCAGAAAAAAUAUGAAGAAAUGGGCAAAACAUGUACAACUCAAGCACAAACCCAUGCAUAUUUCUCUUGACUGUGCACUAUACAUGUGCAUAUGUGUCUGUUUUAUGAAAAGUUGGUGAAACAUAAGAGUUAUAACUGUCUAAUGGAAGUAAUGCUUGCCAAAAUAAAGAAGAAAAGAAUCAAGAUGGCGUUCUGCAUCUUGAAGUUGCUGCAAGAAAAUGGUAAAUUGAAGAUACAAAAAGACAGAUGUGAGUUUGGGUGAAAGCUAGAUUUGAAAAGAAAAAAAAAUACUAAUUGAUACUCAUGAACUGAUGUAAAUUUGCAGAAAAAAUGCUCUGAAAACACACUCUUAAUUAGAUAUAGUAUAUAUGUUUGUCUUA